rnacentral:rRNA from 1 species
AUUGAACGCUGGCGGCAUGCUUUACACAUGCAAGUCGAACGGCAGCACGGGGGCAACCCUGGUGGCGAGUGGCGAACGGGUGAGUAAUAUAUCGGAACGUACCCGGAAAUGGGGGAUAACGUAGCGAAAGUUACGCUAAUACCGCAUAUGCCCUAAGGGGGAAAGCGGGGGAUUCGCAAGAACCUCGCGUUUUCGGAGCGGCCGAUAUCGGAUUAGCUAGUAGGUGAGGUAAAGGCUCACCUAGGCGACGAUCCGUAGCUGGUCUGAGAGGACGACCAGCCACACUGGAACUGAGACACGGUCCAGACUCCUACGGGAGGCAGCAGUGGGGAAUUUUGGACAAUGGGCGCAAGCCUGAUCCAGCCAUGCCGCGUGAGUGAAGAAGGCCUUCGGUUGGUUAAAGGACUCUUUCUAGCCGGAAAGAAAACGACACGGG